UUAAAAAAAAAAAAAAUAAGCUGGCACGGUUUGGCCCGCGGCCCGGCACGGCACGGCCCGCAAGGCACGUGGGCCGUGUAAUUAUUUAUGGCUAGACUCUAGUCUAGGCAUCAUCCCCUACACCCCUCUCUAAACACAUCGUUUAACACCCCUUCCCCCAUCUACCUACUUUCAUAGUUUCUGCAGUACUAUACCCUCACAAAAUGCAGCAUACUAUUACUCCCUAAAAUCCUAAAAAAAUUUCAGUAACUUCCUCUACCCCACAAAUAUAUAUACCCAAAAAAAAAAAACAUCUUGUUCUCUCUUUAUUUUCCCUCUCCAUUAUCUCUCUCAUCUAAGCUUUAAAACUUCAACCAUGGCGACAUUAGAGACGAAGUCAAACAACCGAAGCAAAUUUCACCGAAAAAAGUAGCGAAAAUCAAAAGAGAAACAAAUUGAUAGUUUAAUAACUGAAAAUGUAUAUAUUUUGGAGAAAUCUAUUUCAGAGAACAGAAACAACGAUUCUUCAAAAAUGUAGACCAAAUCAGGAAGCUGAGGAUGCAAUACACAACUCAACUAAUGUUUUUGAAGAAAACACUGAAUGUAGGAUCAACAAAAGAUUAUCAAGAAAAAUUACAAAAGAGUAGUAUUACAUGUUCAUUUAUAAAUUUAUAUAUGUUCAUUUAUACAAAGAUAUAUGUUCUUAUAUGUGUUCAAUAGAACUUAUAGAUUUUACUCGCUUAA